AUUGAACGCUGGCGGCAUGCCUUACACAUGCAAGUCGAACGGCAGCACGGGUGCUUGCACCUGGUGGCGAGUGGCGAACGGGUGAGUAAUACAUCGGAACGUACCUUAUCGUGGGGGAUAACGCAGCGAAAGCUGUGCUAAUACCGCAUACGCCCUGAGGGGGAAAGCGGGGGAUCGAAAGACCUCGCGCGAUUAGAGCGGCCGAUGCCUGAUUAGCUUGUUGGUGGGGUAAAAGCCCACCAAGGCGACGAUCAGUAGCUGGUCUGAGAGGACGAUCAGCCACACUGGGACUGAGACACGGCCCAGAAUCCUACGGGAGGCAGGAGUGGGGAAUUUUGGACAAUGGGGGCAACCCUGAUCCAGCAAUGCCGCGUGAGUGAAGAAGGCCUUCGGGUUGUAAAGCUCUUUUGUCAGGGAAGAAACACCGGCUCUAACACAGUCCGGGAAUGACGGUACCUGAAGAAUAAGCACCGGCUAACUAAGUGCCAGCCGCCGCCGUAA
rnacentral:rRNA from 1 species